GGGCGUGAUUUGAAAGUGUCCGGUUUGGUGGCCUCAGCAUCGCAUCUCUGCUCUUUGCAGAUGAUGUGGUUCUGUUGGCUUCAUCAAGCCAUGAUCUCCAGCUCUCAUUGGAGGGAUUCGCAGCCGAGUGUGGAUCAGUUGGGAUGAGAAUCAGCACCUCCAAAUCUGAGAUGAUGGUCGUCAGUCGGAAAAGGGUGGCGUUCCCGAGUUGGGGAUGAGAUCCUUCCCCAAGUGGAGGAGUUCAAGUAUCUUGGAGUGUUGUUCACGAGUGAGAGAAGAAUGGAAUGGGAGAUCAACAGACGGAUUGGUGCAGCGUCUGCAGUGAUGCGGACUUUGUAUCUGUCCGUUGUGGUAAAGAGGGAGCUAAAUCGAAAGGCGAAGCUCUCAAUUUAUUAGUCAAUUUAUGUUUCUACCCUCACCUAUGGGCAUGAGCGAUGGGUCGUGACCGACAGAACAAGAUGAAAUGAGUUUCCUCCACCGGGUGUCCGGGCUGUCCCUUAGAGAUAAAGUGAGAAUCUUGGUAAUCCGGGAGGAGCUCAGUGUCGAGCCGCUAAUCCUUUGGAUUGAGAGGAGCCAGAUGACGUGGCUGGGGCAUCUGAUCUGGAUGCCCCCUGGACGCCUUCCUGGUGAGGUGUUCUGGGCAUGUCCCACCGGAAAGAGACCCUGAAGACGACCCAGGACAUGCUGGAGAGACUAUGUCUUUCGGCUGGCUUGGGAACGCCUCUGGAUCCCACCGGAAGAGCUGGAAGAAGUGGCUGGGGAAAAGGAAGUCUGGGUAUCCCUGCUGAAGCUACUUCCCCCGGGACCCGACCCAGAAAAGUGGUAGAUAAUGGAUGGAUGGAUGGAUGGAUGGAUGGAUGGAUAUUUAGCAGCAUGGUGAUGCGAAUGGUAGAACAUCUGCCUAACCUGGGUUCAAAUCUGCACCCAGCCUCUGCGGAGUAUGCAUGCUCUUCCCGUCCCUGGGUGGGAUUUCUCUAAUUACUCUGGUUUCCUUCCAUAUCCCAAAAACGAGAAUUAAUUGGAGUCUCUAAUUUGCUCUUUGGUGUGAUUGUGAGUGUGGAUGUUUGUUUGUUUCUAUGUUCCUUAUGAUUGGCUGGCAACCAGUUCAGGGUAUACCCAAACUCCUGCCUGUAGAUAACUGGGACAGGUUCCAGCACUUCUGCGACCUUUGUGAGGAUAAGGGGGCUCACAUAAUGGAUUGAUGAAUUGAAUAAAUUACUAACUCAUCAUCAAUCACUGAGGUCGUCCACCCGAAUUGCCCCAUUGGGAUCCUGGUGCUUGGCGUCCAGGUCGUCCUCCUCGCGUUUCGUGGCCUGGAUGGCCACCAGACUGGGGUUGGGGGAGGGGGGGGUCGUGACAUUAGUACAACGAUCGCUCCCCUUGCAGCAAGUAAAACUUGAAGCCUUAUCUGUUCGCCUUCUUUUAAUAGAGAGUCAAGCUUUUAAACCUGACAUUUGGUCCUUCGAGCCGGAUCCCAACACACCACCGCCCAUUGAGGAAGGAGAAGACACACCGAAGUCUGUCGACAGCCAGGAGCAUUUAGCUGUUCCUGAAGAAAAGCCCUGGUGGGACGUGAAUUCGUGGCCAGGCCGGUGCCAGGCCAGUGGACGAAGGUUGACGGGAUCAUGAACAACUGGCGUCCAGACAACGCGUGAACCGUUUCAAUCCAUUUUCAUUGUGUCACCCGACUUGACCUGCUAAGAAGUCAUUAAAGGAGCAAGCACGCUCACUUCCUGGCUCUUGAAAAGGAGUUUGGCUGGCUGUUUAUUCAUGUUAGCACUUUGGAAGUAAAACACAUGAAUAGAACAGUACAGUGAAAAGCCAGUGAAUCAGAAGGAUUCGUCUGCCACAGUUAUGGAAGCACAAGCAAUAGAAAGGGAGGAGAAAGCGGCAUCAGUGUUCAGCUCCAACUCCAAAGCCACUUCCAAGUCUUCAGUAGUUAGUGCUGCUGCUAGAGCUAGAGCUAAAGCCGAAGCUGCACGCACCAGAGCCACAUUCGCUCAGAAGGAGUUAGAACUGAAAAGACAGAGAGCUAGAUUGGAUUUGGAAAAGGCUACACUAGAAGCGGAGUUAGAAGCUCUAGGACUGUAAAAGGUAGCUGCUGCUGCUAUUGUAGAGGCUGAAGUUUUAGAAGCUGCAGCAGGACCAGAAUAUGAGGAUAGGUGCAGCGCCAGGAGUCGCAUCUCAUCGCAGAUAACAUGUCAGUGUACAAAGGCAUAUGUGGAACAUCAGGCUCGAGCCAGCUAUGAAACUGCAUCGUCUGUGGAUGUAACUCCUCAUUGUUUUAAAGAAGCAUCGCCAUCAAGACAGCAGGAAGCUCCUGAAUUAACCCCUGCACACAACUGUGAUGCCACGCCUACAAGGAACACACAGCAAAGUGCUGUUGGUGUCCAUUGGUGAUUGGGUCCUGAGAAAAAUCAUCAAGAGGAAGUGUUGGUCCUCACCUCACUGGGAUGGUCCACUCCCUCAGUGAUAAAGAUAGCAGAACAUCCCACAAGGAUACACUUCUCCCACUGCAAGCCUGUGGCUCCCUUAUCAUUUAACGACGAGUAGCGGUGGAAGUCCGGCUACAAAGGUUGGGUUUAGCAAUAGGCUACCCUGGUCUCAAACCGGUGAAGAAUUCAGCUGAUCCGCGCUUGAGCAUGUUAGGUAAAGGAGAGCCACUAUUGGGACUGCUGGCAUUCGUGCUGUUCAGACCAUGGCUCCUCCGCACUGGCCAGUCUGGGACUGUACGUGUUUAUCACUGGAUAUAUGGACAUGAAUCAUCAUGGAGCAAGGACAAUCCCACCUCUCCAAUGGACGCCAACGCCUGGGACUCUUAUGUGAAUAAGGUGUCCCUCCGUGGACAACCAAUGACAGAUCAACAAGUGUGGUGAAGCUGGAACUACUCAGAUGCCCCGCCAUGAAAAGAAGUGUGCAGCAGCGACGAGUCCGACAAUGCCACCAAUUCCACCUACUGGUCCCAGACUUCAUGCCAGGCCAGGAGAGGAUGCAAAGAGAAACCAUCUGAGGUCUUCAGGACGGACCUGAUCACCACCAUGAAGGUGCAUGACUCGUACCAGCUCAACGCAGAGGAUUAGUACGUCCUGGCCGAUCCAUAGAAGCAGAAGCGAGAAAAAGGGUAUCCACGUGCCCGUUAGCCCACAGUCCAUCCCGGAGCCCGUGGCCCGGGUGCUUACUGACAAAAGCAAGGAUGUCAUGUUCAUCAGGCCCAAGAAGCUGAUCCACACAUCUGCCUCCCUGGUCCUCAGUUAUGUGGACAUCAGGACUUUAGCGGAGGGCAUGUGUCACUACAACCUGAAUGAGGAAGACGUCACCUGGCUGGUGGUCAUCAACGAGGAGUUUGCAAAGUUGGCCCUUCUGCCACGGGAUGAAUUCGCCAUAGAGUGCUGAGCACCGUUGUCAUAACAACAUGACACACACUACCGAGACACAGUAGGGCCUUGGUAUCAAGUACAACGAGAAUGUGGUGUGCGACGUGCCAGUUCCCCAACGGAGAGGACGACAACGAGAUGGUGUUUUGCAACAAGUGCAAUGUCUGCGUCCACCAGGUAUCCUGCCAAAGUGCCAGUUGUGCCCGAAAACGGGCCAUGCUAUGAAGCCCACCCGCAGUGGAACCAAGUGGGUCCAUGUCAGCAGUGCCUUGUGGAUCCCAAAGAUGAGCAAUGGGAACCUGGAGAAGAUGGAGCACGUCACCAACGUGUCGCACACUCCCAGCAACAGCCUCCACUCCGGCCUGGAGAGACCAUCAUCACUCAGAACGACAACAUCAAGGUCAAGUACUACUCGACCAAGCACUCGGGCCUUAAAGGCAGUGACUCUGUGGAGCGGGACUCCACCACUGAAGUUGAAGAUGAGGAAAGCGCUGGGAGCAAGAAGGGCAAAUUGAGAGGAAAGGUUGGAAGGGACAAUAAAGAGGACAUGGCCGCCCUCGGCUUCAUCCCUUUCGCCUCGUCGUCCUUGUGUCUUGUUUGUAAAUGUGACCCGCAGGAAAAGCAUGUCAAUGUCCGGAAGAUGAAAUUGCAAGAGAUGAAGGAGGUCUUCUACCAGUUUGUGGACACCAAGAAAGUGGGCCUGUAUCAGUACUAGAAGCUGAAGCACAAAGCUAACUUCAACCAGCUGCUGCUCAUGCCUAAGAAGGACGAGGACGUGAACACGAGGUGAUCCUGAGAUGACUGCAGCUAUUCAUGCACCUCCUCCAAGACCUGGAGAGGGUGUGCAACCUGACUUGGAUGGUGAUGAAGAUGUAAAGACUGUUGUCUGGAAAAAUACGAGCGAUGGAGUGCAGGACAAUGGCCUGACUUUAAAUGGACAAGGACUCUGCACUGCCACCAGGUGAGCUGAAGAAUCUCUUCUGUGUUUGCCCUUAUAUGCCAUGGGUUGCAAAAGUCUGCAUGACUGUCCCAAUCACCAGCGAGGGUUCCGUCUCUAAUCACGGCUUCCACUGUCAGUGGAGGCCGUGUGUUUAUCUCGACAUCAACCAUUGCCUUUCUCCUUACAUGUUUCGCGACUCCAGUACCAAGAAUAUCUACACUAGACUUGGUUGGGCUGCUGUGUACCCGCACAUGAUGGGUUCAGAAAUGAGCAACGAUGUUCACCAACUGUUUAUUUAUGAUGAUGAUGAUUAUUAUUUAUUACUAUUGGUCCUGGUUCACCUCCAAACCUUGUUAUUUUGUUAUGAUGAAUUUGCUUAUCUGUAAUUACUGUUCUGGGUUUGUUCUGCCUUUUUGUGAUGUGUAUAAUCGCACGUUUGAAAUCUAUGAUGGUUCGAGCAAGGUCAAAUGUUUUUGUGAACUAUGCCCUUCUACAACAAGUAGACCCUCAUUAUAUGCAGCUCCAGCUAAAAGGAAACUUUUGAUGCCUUUUAUACGCUCAAGUGUAAAUGAUGAACUUUCUGAAAAUGCAACAGCAUUCUGAUGUCCCCACUCGUUUUUCCAAAAUGAUAAACAGGAGGGAAAUGUUAAAAUAAUCAUCCAUAUGUUCUCAUUUUGUUCAAACUGUAGUUGGUUACACAUCACCACCAAGCUUGUGCCUUUGAACUCACUGCCUUGAUGUAAUCAAUCUAACAGAUGUAAACAAUCAAACAGUCAGACACACUCACAUACACACUCAUCAUGUGAUUCACUGAAUAAAAAGAAGCUGCAAAGAGACACAAGUUGGAGUUGGUUGGAAGCAGGGAAGUCCUGUCGCUCCCCUUGCAGCAAAUAAAACUUGAAGCCUUGUCUGUAUGCCUUCUUUUAAUAGAGAGUCAAGCUUUUAAACCUGACAAUCAUUACAAAAAUCAGACGCAGGUGAGUGCAUCUGCUCAUCGGUGUCAUGGUCCUGCCGGUCCCAGCCCUGGUGGUGCAGCUCCCCUACACACCUGCGUUGAUUAGGAGGCGCACACCUGCGCCUCAUCUGCGAUAAUGAACCCCAGGACUUUUAGGACCCAGCGGACGGUCUUGCUUUACUUUAACUGCCUUCCUGCUUACUGAGUUGUGCAUUUAGGUCCACACUAGAGUUCUAGUUGUGACAAUCGGAGCAGGUGCGCGGCGGGUCGAGGACAGACACAUCCAUGACACUAUAUUGCAUUCCCACUAUUUCAUGGUUCUGCUAUGUCUUAGUCCUGCUAUUUCAUUUUUGAUUAAUAUUUUUAUCCAUCCAUCCAUUUUCUCAGCCAGUUAUCCUCAUAAGGUUUGGGGGAGUGCUGGGGCCUUUCUCUUCUAUCUUUAGGCAGGAAGCAGGGUAAACCAUUAGCUGGUUGCCAGCCAAUCACAAGGCACAUACUGUACUAACAAGUAACCAUUUGGACUCACAUUCACACUUAUGGGCAAUUUAAAGUCUUCAAUUAACCUACUAUGCAUCUUUAACCUACUAUGCCUGUUUUUGGAACAUGUGAGGAAACUGGAGUGCCCAGAGAAAAACCCACACAAGCAUAAGGAGAACAUGAAAACUCCAGACAGGAGGGGCCAGGAUUUGAACCCUGGUCCUUAGAACUGGGAGGCACCACGUUAACCAGUCACACCACUGUGCUGUCCUGAUUCAUAUUUUUUUAUUGUCUCUUCGAGUUGCAAAUGUGUGUUGUUUUUUUAUGUAAGUGUUACUCAUUUUGAUACAAAGCAUUUUCGCCACUCAACAGAUUUUUCCAUGCUGUUUGGGCAAUAUUUUUCAGCUAUUGCUCUUGCUCUCUCUUAAUAUAUAUAGUCAAUUCAUCUGUGUUUGUGUUUUCUUAAAGGUGUGUUUCUAUAUGAUUUUUUGGAGAAAGGUGUGGAAUAUAACCCCGCAAUGGAGAAAAGUUAUUAUGACGAUUAUCAUCCAACAAUUGUUCUGUAAUUCUAAUUUCAGUAAUGGACGAUAUCAUUGAUCAUCCUCCAAAUUACAUUUGAUGUUUAACAUUUCCCAAAUAUAUUUGAGGUUGGUUAUAGACAAUAAUUGAUAAAAAUGUGACAUGAUUUGAAUUGUAUAAAAUUUGAUUGAAUGCAAGCUUUCGGAGUGAACCUGGAGGUUAUGUCUUUAAUCCACUUUCUUGACAGGCAUCCAUUCCUCUUUCUCUUCAUUUGUUAGUCUUUUGUUCGGGAAAUGAGAUGUGUUUGACCCCAUUCUCCUUUUCUCGUCACCUACUGACCAAAGGAGGAGUUACAGAAAU